rnacentral:sRNA from 1 species
CGCGGGUCCACGCGUGUGAUCGUCCGUGCGUCUAGCCUUUGCCCACGCAGCUUUCAGUCAUGGCCUCCGGUAACGCGCGCAUCGGAAAGCCAGCCCCUGACUUCAAGGCCACAGCGGUGGUUGAUGGCGCCUUCAAAGAGGUGAAGCUGUCGGACUACAAAGGGAAGUACGUGGUCCUCUUUUUCUACCCUCUGGACUUCACUUUUGUGUGCCCCACCGAGAUCAUCGCGUUCAGCAACCGUGCCGAGGACUUCCGCAAGCUGGGCUGUGAAGUGCUGGGCGUCUCGGUGGACUCUCAGUUCACCCACCUGGCUUGGUAUGAGCAGGGGCCAAAGAGGGAGGUUGCAGCUAAGCUCACACCCUCGGGUCCCAGCUGUGUGGCUUCGUGGCCAUUGCUCAACCUCUGGAACCUGCGUUUCCCCAUCGUGAAAAUAAUGGAAACAUCUCCGCCCAAGUCUUUAAGGAUGAUGACAGUAAUUAGCAUUUGACAACUAGUUGCCUGGCAUAUAGAGUUGCAGAUGCAACUCAGAUGCAACUCUAUCUACUCUAUCUACUUAGUUCCCAGGAGGGAGGCUGUGCUGCCCUAUUUCAUGAAGAUGGAAACUCCAGUUCACCGAAGUGAAGGGCUGUACCCCAUGACACAGCUAGAGGAGGAUGGGGACUCUUAACACGGGCUCUCUGCUGGGUGAUGCUGCAAGUUACAAGCACAUGUGAAGCCACUUAGCUGGAGCUGUGCCUCUCAAACUCAGUCUUCCCAGCCGUGGGGAUACAGUCCUUGCACCCAACCCAGGGUGGGGUGGGUGAGGCUCCCAGCAGCCUACUCUAAAGCCCCUUAUCUCUGGCCUCCAGUGCUUAUCACAUUGGGCCCACAGGGUGAGGACCCUGCUGUGCCAGGCAUCCUGAGGCCCCAACUCUGUCUCCCCUACUCCCAGGAUCAACACCCCCCGGAAAGAGGGAGGCUUGGGCCCCCUGAACAUCCCCCUGCUUGCUGACGUGACCAGACGCUUGUCUGAGGAUUACGGCGUGCUGAAAACAGAUGAGGGCAUUGCCUACAGGUACUGUGGGACCCUCAGCCCGGCUCAGGGAGCGCCCUGCCCCCCAUUCCUGUGAUGCUGGGACCACUCCUGUACAAUGUCUUCUCUGCCCCCAGCCCUGUGGCUAGCAGCGGGUGGUUGGUAGUCCCUUCCUUGUCUCUGGCAGUGGGAGCUACCAGCUCCUCACUGGGAACCCUGAUGUCUUCAGGGGCCUCUUUAUCAUCGAUGGCAAGGGUGUCCUUCGCCAGAUCACUGUUAAUGAUUUGCCUGUGGGACGCUCCGUGGAUGAGGCUCUGCGGCUGGUCCAGGCCUUCCAGUACACAGACGAGCAUGGGGAAGUUUGUCCCGCUGGCUGGAAGCCUGGCAGUGACACGAUUAAGCCCAACGUGGAUGACAGCAAGGAAUAUUUCUCCAAACACAAUUAGGCUGGCUAACGGAUAGUGAGCUUGUGCCCCUGCCUAGAUGCCUGUGCUGGGUGUCCACCUGUGCCCCCACCUGGGUGCCCUGUGCUGACCCAGGGAAGGCCAGACCUGCCCCUCCAAACUCCACAGUAUGGAACCCUGGAGGGCUAGGCCAAGGCCUUCUCAUGCCUCCACCUAGGAGCUGAAUAGUGACGCCCUCCCCCAAGCCCACCCAGCCGCACACAGGCCUAGAGGUGACCAAUAAAGUAUUAGGGAAAGGUG